UAGCCGAAUGACAAUACAAGAAAUAGAAACAAGAAAUAUUCUUGAUUUGAUUUGGUUUGAUUUGAUUUUCUUUCCUUUCUUGUGUUUACAGGUGAAGAUCAUGAAGAUUCAGCUUGGUGAUGGUUGCGGCUGCGGCGCAAAGGUCUUCUUUAGAAACCCUAGGGUUUCUGCAAAUGAUUUGGGCCAUUGAGCUUUGGGCCCCUGUUGUAUUCGGG
rnacentral:lncRNA from 1 species